rnacentral:rRNA from 1 species
GAUGAACGCUGGCGGCGUGCCUAAUACAUGCAAGUCGAGCGAACAGAUGAGGAGCUUGCUCCUCUGACGUUAGCGGCGGACGGGUGAGUAACACGUGGAUAACCUACCUAUAAGACUGGGAUAACUUCGGGAAACCGGAGCUAAUACCGGAUAAUAUAUUGAACCGCAUGGUUCAAUAGUGAAAGACGGUUUUGCUGUCACUUAUAGAUGGAUCCGCGCCGCAUUAGCUAGUUGGUAAGGUAACGGCUUACCAAGGCAACGAUGCGUAGCCGACCUGAGAGGGUGAUCGGCGAGACUGGAAGUGAGAGACGGUCCAGACGCCUACGGGAGGCAGCAGUAGGGAAUCUGCCGCAAUGGGCGAAAGCCUGACGGAGCAACGCCGCGUGAGUGAUGAAGGUCUUCGGAUCGUAAAACUCUGUUAUUAGGGAAGAACAAAUGUGUAAGUAACUAUGCACGUCUUGACGGUACCUAAUCAGAAAGCCACGGCUAACUACGCG